rnacentral:rRNA from 1 species
GACGGAGGAGGCAAGCGUUAUCCGGAAUUAUUGGGCGUAAAGGGUACGUAGGCGGCAGGUCAAGGCUGGGGUCAAAGGACACAGCUCAACUGUGGGAAGGCCCUGGAAACUGACCGGCUAGAGUGAGGUAGGGGGUGCGGGAAUUCACGGUGUAGCGGUGAAAUGCGUAGAGAUCGGGAAGAACAUCUGAGGCGGAAGCGCGCAACUGGUCCUCAAAUGUCGCUGAGGUACGAAAGUUAGGUGAGUGAAUGGG